UCUGUUCCAUUAAAAAAACACGAUUUUUCAAAGAUCUUUUGAAAAAAUCGAAGAACUUAAAAGGGCGUUUGGGUACCAAGAAAUCUAUUACAUGAAAAUAAAUUACAAAAAAAUAUGACAUUUCCGUACAUUUUAAUAGUAAGAAAAUGAAAAAUACAUUACACGAGAUUUCCCCAAAACUCAUGAAAUCCAUUACGUGAGGUGAAGGGUGAAAAAUCUAUUACGCGCCUUGACGAAUAAUCUAUAUGAAAAAUCUUUCGCGUGCAUCUCGUUAAAAAUUCCUCUGUAUCUCCCACUAAAAAUUGCCUUCUCUCAUAAAACAAACAAGAAGCCCUACCCACUCUCUCUCUCUCCUUCCCCCUUCUCUCAUAAACCAAGCAGGAAGCCCUAACCUCUCUCUCUCUCCUUCCCCCAAAAGCAAAAAUUGCCUCUUUACCCUAAUUUUCCCAAAACACAGUUGUUGCUCUCUCCAUCAAAGAACCUCUACUUUCCGCCCUCACCAUCAAAGAAACCUGCUCUUUAGCUUUGGACAGAACGAUACCAGAUACGCUCAUCCAUCUCUUUUGGUCUUCUUCUAUUUGUUUUUCUCUCUAGAAUUCCCAAAUCUCACACAUGACAACAAUCAAGCCAAUUUUACACAAGAAGAACCAGAACCAUGUUCAACAAUCAACAAAUGCAUAUUCUUUUGAUCCUAAUCAGCAGAUGCAUAAUCACCAGAACCAUGUUCAACAAUUUCUCUCUCUCUCUCUCUCUCNNNNNNNNNNNNNNNNNNNNNNNNNNNACGUAACUAACUACUAACAAACUAAUACGACAUAUUACUUUUACGUUAGUACCUACUACUACGACAGACAGUCACUAUACUACCACAACACUAGUCUACACUUCUCUCUCUCUCUCUCUCUCUCUCUCUCUCUCUCUCUCUCUAUGUGUGUGUGAAACCCACAAACCAAGAAAAUGGAAAUACCUCCCAAAUUGUAAUAAAACAAGGGAAUAAAAAGGGCAAUCAGAAAUUGCAUCUUCAGCGAUACCUAUGAAAACAUGUCUUUCUCUCAUUUUGAGACUCUAUCAAGCAAAGUCUAAAUAGUCCUUUAUCAACAGAAAAUGCAGCAACAAUCAAACUCAACUCCCAGGCACAUAAACAAGUACAAACUUGAUAAAAUAUGUUCAAAUAGUCAUCCCAACAAGAGCUCUAUUAAUAACCAUGUUAGACUGUGAGAAAGUACAAAUAAAGUUAGAAGAGUCAAUCCAUCAGCCACUACAUGAUCAUUAUUGUGAUACAUAAAUGAUUCAUACUGAAUGAAAUGCCCCCUGAAACAAGUUCGCACCUAGUAGCCUAUAACUCAUUGCCCUCUGGAUAACUCAACCUAUGGCACUUCCAAGUUGCAGAAAACAAACUACAAUAACUCUCUGAUAGUUUCGUGCUUGAAACCAUUUGAAAGUUGGUGAAAUAGGUAAAGUUAUGGUGUUUAGCUUGAACUCUGAUAACACAUGGUCCCAAAACUCAUGGUAGGGGGCAUUUGUUUGAUCUGAAAUUAAUAAUUGAUCUUUACUCAUCCCUAUGAUCAAUGAAAUAGAAUUUGAUUUGUAGCACACAAAAAACUAUAAAUUAAACACCCCUCAAAAUUGACUCUAGACCUUGCAUUUGAGGGAUGGCUCAAAAUCAAUUAAUAUUUCUACGUCAAAAAAAUAUUAAAUAGAGCAAUAUCUACAUAAAACAAAGUGAGAGCAAUAUUAGAUAGAGUAAUAUCAGAGAUGUGUAAGCCAUUACAUUUAAAAGGGUAACAUCAGAGCAAUAACAAGCAAUUAAACAAAUAUAUACUGCUAUUGAUUGAAAAAAGGAUCCAACGUCAAGAUCUAAUGUUAAAAGAAAACAGAAAUCUAACUGAGUUGGGCUUCCGGCUAAAUCAGGCAGAAAAAAAAGAACACAGAACAAUAAAAUAUAAGAUCAAAUAAAUUACGAUAUCAAAGUAAUUGCUCUCAAAUUCCACCUAAACUGUUCAUUAAAAGAAAAAUAAAAUGCAGCCACUCACGUAUAAAUCAUUCCACAAUUCAUUCAGAUAUGGUAGCUGAGAUCAGAUGAAUGAUAAGAACAUAACGUUUAAGACCUUCAUCCAAGGCAGAUUCAGAAUCAAUAUGUUCAAAGCCUUUCAAGGCACUAGCUUUAUAGACUAAGAGCAAAUAACUUAUCAGUAUGAUGUGAAGGAUCUCAAACAUGCAAACUUCAGUAAUCGAGACACUAGCUUAAUAGACUAAGAGCAAAUAACUCAUCAGCAUGAUGUGAAGGAUCUCAAACAUGCAAACUUCAGUAACCGAAAGUUGAGAAAACAAGAUUGGUAUUUAUAAUAGACCCUGAAAUAACCAAGGGCAAUGUUUUAUGCUUUCCCAGAUAAAGUUUGAUCACAAUUUGAGGAUCUUCUUUUGGAAUGCAAUUGGCAGUUGAGAAAACAAGAAUGGAAGUUACAGUAGACUUUGAAAUAACCACAGGAGAUAUUAUGUCCUUUCCAAGCUAAGGUUUGAUGACAUCUUUGAUGAUCUUCUUUUGGACUGCAAAUGUAAAGAUUGAAGUUCAAAAGACAUACGGUACUUGAUGUUUCCUCGUCUUAAAGAUUCAGUCAGGAAUUAACAAGACUCUUUGAUCAAAAAGAUCAGUGCUAAUAUGAAAAACUCAUCGCAAAAGGGAGAAUCUUUGAAGAAAGACACCAAAACUAUUGCAGAUAGAGAGCCCUCAUGAAUACUCGUAUGGAAUCAUUUUCAAACAAUACAAACGGGAAUUAUUAAUGCUUCAAUUUUGUUGAUUACCCUGCUUUUAUCUGCUGCAUACUUCAAAACUCACCCAAACACACAAUAAUAAUAUGUCAUAAUAUUCAGUCUCCUACACCAUAGCUUUGAAAUCAAGCUACCACGAAACCCCAACCUUCUAAUAAAUGCAAAAUAUGAAAAGUAUCAUGUAAUUGCACAGCAAAGACCAAUUAAUCUCCAAAAGCAAGAAGACAACCCACAUCUUUAUGUCUUAAAAGCAAAAAUCAACUAUUGAAUUCAAAAAUAAAAAAAAAGCCAGUUAUAAUCAAAGACAUUCAAAUCCAAACAUUUGAAAGACCACCAUUUUCCAGAGUAUAAGAAAAUUUGAAAUACUACAAACAAACAAAAUUAUACACAGAACCACACAAAAGAAAGAGAGAAAUCAUUUUUCGCCACAAUGUGCUUAAGCAUCACAAAUAUGAGAGAUUUGAAAAGGAAUAUGGAAUACCUAGAAAGCUUGGAAGAGGAUAUCUUCUAUGGACGCAAAUCCAAGAUGGAAUAUGAGCUUAAAUUAUCAGAAGUGGUUUCUAAGUAUGUGAGAUUCCAUGCGUGACUACGACCACAGUCUCUCUCUCUGUGAUAUAUUCAAAUGGUAUCUCUCUCUAAUAAAUCCCUCAUUUUCACACUAGAGCUAAACUUAGAAGAUGAAAGAGAGAGAGGGACAGAAAACAAUAAGUAAGGAGAGAGAACAGAUGAAAGAGGUGAGAGAUCAGAGGGGAAUGGGGAUGAGAGAGAAGAUGAAAGAGAGGGGAGGAAAGGGAAGAUGAGAGAAGAAGAAGACAUUACCUGGUUGCAGACGCGAGAGAGGAGGCAGCGUUGCUAGGGCUUCUGAGCUUGGAGGCAGGGGCGAGAGGAGCUAGGGUUGGGUGCUCUG
rnacentral:lncRNA from 1 species